UACGUAGGGGGCAAGCGUUUGUCCGGAAUCAUUGGGCGUAAAGCGCGUGUAGGCGGCUCGGUAAGUCCGCUCUGAAAGUCCAGGGCUCAACCCUGGGAUGCGGGUGGAUACUGCCGGGCUCGAGUCCGGAAGAGGCGAGUGGAAUUCCCGGUGUAGCGGUGAAAUGCGCAGAUAUCGGGAGGAACACCAGUGGCGAAGGCGGCUCACUGGACCGGUACUGACGCUGAUGCGCGAAAGCGUGGGGAGCAAACGGG
rnacentral:rRNA from 1 species